rnacentral:rRNA from 1 species
CAGCCGCCGCGGGAAUACGAAGGGUGCAAGCGUUAAUCGGAAUUACUGGGCGUAAAGCGUGCGCAGGCGGUUGUGUAAGACAGGUGUGAAAUCCCCGGGCUUAACCUGGGAACUGCGCUUGUGACUGCACAGCUAGAGUAUGGCAGAGGGGGGUGGAAUUCCACGUGUAGCAGUGAAAUGCGUAGAGAUGUGGAGGAACACCGAUGGCGAAGGCAGCCCCCUGGGCCAAUACUGACGCUCAUGCACGAAAGCGUGGGGAGCAAACAGGAUUAGAUACCCCUGUAGUCCCUGUCUCUUAUAU